rnacentral:rRNA from 1 species
AUGCAUCUAGCCUUUGUUUUUUCCGUUCACAGAAGAAAUUUUCAUCUAUUUUGGCGUUUUAAUUCGGCAGACAAGCUGAUCCGGAUACAGCUCACCAAAAUCCAACCAAGAAAAAAGAAAGAAAACGAGCUGGUGGUACUACUAAAUUCCAGUGCUACUCCAGGCACGGACUUCCGGCCGAAAGAAACCAACAAGCGUGUGCCGGAACGGGCCAGGAAGGAAGAGAGGCACUUCACCAACCAAGAGAAAUCUCCUCGCCUCAACCAAGACUCGACUUGGCUGGCCUCGGCCACUUCGAUCUCUCCACCUCUCCAGUAG